rnacentral:rRNA from 1 species
UCGAACGCUGGCGGCGUGCUUAACACAUGCAAGUCGAACGGAAAGGCCCUUCGGGGUACUCGAGUGGCGAACGGGUGAGUAACACGUGGGUGAUCUGCCCUGCACUCUGGGAUAAGCCUGGGAAACUGGGUCUAAUACCGGAUAGGACCACACACUUCAUGGUGAGUGGUGCAAAGCUUUUGCGGUGUGGGAUGAGCCCGCGGCCUAUCAGCUUGUUGGUGGGGUAAUGGCCCACCAAGGCGACGACGGGUAGCCGGCCUGAGAGGGUGACCGGCCACACUGGGACUGAGAUACGGCCCAGACUCCUACGGGAGGCAGCAGUGGGGAAUAUUGCACAAUGGGCGCAAGCCUGAUGCAGCGACGCCGCGUGAGGGAUGACGGCCUUCGGGUUGUAAACCUCUUUCAGUAGGGACGAAGCGAAAGUGACGGUACCUACAGAAGAAGGACCGGCCAACUACGUGCCAGCAGCCGCGGUAAUACGUAGGGUCCGAGCGUUGUCCGGAAUUACUGGGCGUAAAGAGCUCGUAGGUGGUUUGUCGCGUUGUUCGUGAAAACUCACAGCUUAACUGUGGGCGUGCGGGCGAUACGGGCAGACUAGAGUACUGCAGGGGAGACUGGAAUUCCUGGUGUAGCGGUGGAAUGCGCAGAUAUCAGGAGGAACACCGGUGGCGAAGGCGGGUCUCUGGGCAGUAACUGACGCUGAGGAGCGAAAGCGUGGGUAGCGAACAGGAUUAGAUACCCUGGUAGUCCACGCCGUAAACGGUGGGUACUAGGUGUGGGUUUCCUUCCUUGGGAUCCGUGCCGUAGCUAACGCAUUAAGUACCCCGCCUGGGGAGUACGGUCGCAAGACUG